CAGCCGCCGCGGGAAUACGGAGGAUCCAAGCGUUAUCCGGAAUCAUUGGGUUUAAAGGGUCCGUAGGCGGUCUUGUAAGUCAGUGGUGAAAGCCCAUCGCUCAACGGUGGAACGGCCAUUGAUACUGCAGGACUUGAAUUAUUGGGAAGUAACUAGAAUAUGUAGUGUAGCGGUGAAAUGCUUAGAGAUUACAUGGAAUACCAAUUGCGAAGGCAGGUUACUACCAAUUGAUUGACGCUGAUGGACGAAAGCGUGGGUAGCGAACAGGAUUAGAUACCCGUGUAGUCCCUGUCUCUUAUAU
rnacentral:rRNA from 1 species